UUCGCCCUUAGAGUUUGCUCUUGGCUCAGGACGAACGCUGGCGGCACGCCUAACACAUGCAAGUCGAACGGAGAAUUGAGAGCUUGCUUUUGAUUCUUAGUGGCGGACGGGUGAGUAACACGUGAGCAACCUACCUUUAAGCGAGGGAUAGCUUCUGGAAACGGAUGGUAAUACCUCAUAACAUAGUGAUAUCGCAUGGUAACACUAUCAAAGAUUUAUCGUUUAGAGAUGGGCUCGCGUCUGAUUAGAUAGUUGGUGAGGUAACGGCUCACCAAGUCGACGAUCAGUAGCCGGACUGAGAGGUUGAACGGCCACAUUGGGACUGAGAGACGGUCCAGACUCCUACGGGAGGCAGCAGUGGGGAAUAUUGGGCAAUGGGGGAAACCCUGACCCAGCAACGCCGCGUGAGGGAAGAAGGCCUUCGGGUUGUAAACCUCUGUCCUUGGGGACGAACAAAUGACUGUACCCAAGGAGGAAGCUCCGGCUAACUACGUGCCAGCAGCCGCGGUAAUACGUAGGGGGCAAGCGUUGUCCGGAAUGAUUGGGCGUAAAGGGCGCGUAGGCGGCCCGGUAAGUCUGGAGUGAAAGUCCUGCUUUUAAGGUGGGAAUUGCUUUGGAUAUUGUCGGGCUUGAGUGCAGGAGAGGUAAGUGGAAUUCCCAGUGUAGCGGUGAAAUGCGUAGAGAUUGGGAGGAACACCAGUGGCGAAGGCGACUUACUGGACUGUAACUGACGCUGAGGCGCGAAAGUGUGGGGAGCAAACAGGAUUAGAUACCCUGGUAGUCCACACUGUAAACGAUGAAUGCUAGGUGUAGGGGGUAUCGACCCCUUCUGUGCCGGAGUUAACACAAUAAGCAUUCCGCCUGGGGAGUACGGCCGCAAGGUUGAAACUCAAAGGAAUUGACGGGGGCCCGCACAAGCAGCGGAGCAUGUGGUUUAAUUCGACGCAACGCGAAGAACCUUACCAGGUCUUGACAUCCAGGUAAAGCGGUAGAGAUACCGUGUGUGCUUGCACAAUCUGAGACAGGUGGUGCAUGGUUGUCGUCAGCUCGUGUCGUGAGAUGUUGGGUUAAGUCCCGCAACGAGCGCAACCCUUACUAAUAGUUACUAACACGUGAAGGUGAGGACUCUAUUGGGACUGCCGGGGACAACUCGGAGGAAGGUGGGGACGACGUCAAAUCAUCAUGCCCCUUAUGACCUGGGCUACACACGUGCUACAAUGGUCGUUACAGAGAGAAGCGAAAUCGCAAGGUAGAGCGGAUCUCAAAAAAGCGAUCCCAGUUCGGAUUGUGGGCUGCAACCCGCCCACAUGAAGUCGGAGUUGCUAGUAAUCGCGGAUCGGCAUGCCGCGGUGAAUACGAUCCCGGGCCUUGCACACACCGCCCGUCA
rnacentral:rRNA from 1 species